rnacentral:lncRNA from 1 species
AGGCUUGAAUGGAUGGCUUCCAAGGCCAGGGCUCGAUCCUGCACAAUUCAGACCAGCUAGUAUCUGUUUAAUUUACUUAAUGCACUCACAAGCCUUCGCAUCGCUGCCCUAGCUUCGUGUUAAGGGCACAACUUAAAGAACAACUUACUCUAUUGACGUAAUAUUCAUUCAUAGUGGCCAGGCGGACCGUUCUGAAGACGGAGGGCCCUAAGAAACCCAGAAAGAAAAAAACCAAUAUAGGAACUACAACUAAGAAAGAAUAAGAAUAAGCAGAAUUGCUUAAG